rnacentral:rRNA from 1 species
AUUGAACGCUGGCGGCAGGCUUAACACAUGCAAGUCGAGCGGGGUGAUGGUGCUUGCACUAUCACUUAGCGGCGGACGGGUGAGUAAUGCUUAGGAAUCUGCCUAUUAGUGGGGGACAACAUCUCGAAAGGGAUGCUAAUACCGCAUACGUCCUACGGGAGAAAGCAGGGGAUCACUUGUGACCUUGCGCUAAUAGAUGAGCCUAAGUCGGAUUAGCUAGUUGGUGGGGUAAAGGCCUACCAAGGCGACGAUCUGUAGCGGGUCUGAGAGGAUGAUCCGCCACACAGGGACUGAGACACGGCCCAGACUGCUACGGGAGGCAGCAGUGGGGAAUAUUGGACAAUGGGGGGAACCCUGAUCCAGCCAUGCCGCGUGUGUGAAGAAGGCCUUAUGGUUGUAAAGCACUUUAAGCGAGGAGGAGGCUCUUUUGGUUAAUACCCAAGAUGAGUGGACGUUACUCGCAGAAUAAGCACCGGCUAACUCUGUGCCAGCCGCCGCAGUAA